rnacentral:tRNA from 1 species
GAGAGUGUAGCUCAGCUGGCAGAGCACAGGGUUGUGGCCCCUGUGGCCGUGGGUUCGAGUCCCAUCACUCUCCCCA